AUGGAAAGGCCAUUGCCCCCAAUCUCCCACAGCCGCACGGCCGCGCCCCUCCCUCCCCCCUCAGCCAUCUCAGCCGCCACCCCCACUAACCCUAGCCGCGCCCUUCUUCCAUCCGUCCUCCUCCCCCUCCCUGGUAUGAGUCAUCCGUCCCCUAUCUCAGGCCGCCCCGAGCUCCUCCUCGUCCUCCAUCCUCACACUCUCCACCCCGAGCACGCCGGAGCAGUUCAGCCAGUACAGAACCCCUCUAUGCAAGAGGAACCCCGUGGCCAUCCGUGCGAGAGCUCGGCCUCGAUGGGGAAAUCAGCGGAGUUGGUGCAGCGGCAAAUGCGGGCGAGGUCGGCCAUGGAGGGAGGCUUGCUAACCGGAGCAGUAGGAGCAAGGAGGUCGAGGUGGUUUAGGUUUGCCUUUAUCUCCCCCCUCUUUGUCUCAUGGUUGAUGUUGUUGGUGCAGGCAGGAUCGAGCACACGCCAUAACAGCAGGAACGAGGAGCUGGAAUUGGUUCAUGGUUUUUCUUUAGUUCCUCUCUUUCUCUCUCUCUCUCUCUCUCUGUGUGUGUGUGUGUGCAUACGUGGGUCUUUUUGUCCAUAUAUACUGAACCAUGGAGUUGUUUAG
rnacentral:rRNA from 1 species